rnacentral:rRNA from 1 species
UACGGGGGGUGCGAGCGUUGUCCGGAUUCACUGGGCGUAAAGGGCGCGUAGGCGGCCUGGUCAGUCGGACCUUUAAGAGCGGGGCUCACCCCCGUGGUGGGUUCGGGACGGCCGGGCUGGGGCGCGGCAGAGGGGGACGGAAUGCCGGGUGUAGUGGUGAAAUGCGUAGAGAUCCGGCGGAACACCGGUGGCGAAGGCGGCCUGCUGGGCAGUAGCUGACACUGAGGCGCGACAGCGUGGGGAGCAAACAGG